rnacentral:rRNA from 1 species
CCUACGGGAGGCUGCAGUGAGGAAUAUUGGUCAAUGGGCGCGAGCCUGAACCAGCCAAGUCGCGUGAGGGAAGACGGUCCUAUGGAUUGUAAACCUCUUUUGUCGGGGAGCAAAAGACGCCACGCGUGGCGUUCCGAGAGUACCCGAAGAAAAAGCAUCGGCUAACUCCGUGCCAGCAGCCGCGGUAAUACGGAGGAUGCGAGCGUUAUCCGGAUUUAUUGGGUUUAAAGGGUUCGCAGGCGGAAGAUCAAGUCAGCGGGAAAAUUGGGAGGCUCAACCUCUUCGAGCCGGUGAAACUGGUUUUCUUGAGUGAGCGAGAAGUAUGCGGAAUGCGUGGUGUAGCGGUGAAAUGCAUAGAUAUCACGCAGAACUCCGAUUGCGAAGGCAGCAUACCGGCGCUCAACUGACGCUCAUGCACGAAAGUGUGGGUAUCGAACAGGAUUAGAUACCCCUGUAGUC